AUCAACGCGGGCGGCGUGCCUAACACAUGCAAGUCGAACGCGAAAGCCCCGCAAGGGGUGAGUAGAGUGGCAAACGGGUGAGUAACACGUGGGUGACCUACCUUCGAGUGGGGGAUAACGUUCCGAAAGGAGCGCUAAUACCGCAUGACAUCCUGCCUUUGGAAAGGCGGACAUUAAAGCCGGGGAUCGCAAGACCUGGCGCUUGAAGAGGGGCCCGCGCCUGAUUAGCUAGUUGGUGGGGUAACGGCUCACCAAGGCGACGAUCAGUAGCCGGCCUGAGAGGGCGGACGGCCACACUGGGACUGAGACACGGCCCAGACUCCUACGGGAGGCAGCAGUGGGGAAUUGUUCGCAAUGGGCGCAAGCCUGACGACGCAACGCCGCGUGGAGGACGAAGAUCUUCGGGUCGUAAACUCCUUUCGAUCGGGAAGAACGGCUUCCGGGCGAACAGCCUGGAAGAGUGACGGUACCGAGAGAAGAAGCCCCGGCUAACUCCGUGCCAGCAGCCGCGGUAAUACGGGGGGGGCAAGCGUUGUUCGGAAUUACUGGGCGUAAAGGGCUAGUAGGCGGCCAACUAAGUCCGACGUGAAAUCCCUAGGCUUAACCUAGGAACUGCGUCGGAUACUGGAUGGCUUGAAUCCGGGAGAGGGAUGCGGAAUUCCAGGUGUAGCGGUGAAAUGCGUAGAUAUCUGGAGGAACACCGGUGGCGAAGGCGGCAUCCUGGACCGGCAUUGACGCUGAAUAGCGAAAGCCAGGGGAGCAAACGGGAUUAGAUAACCCGGUAGUCCUGGCCCUAAACGAUGAAUGCUUGGUGUGGCGGGUAUCGAUCCCUGCCGUGCCGAAGCUAACGCAUUAAGCAUUCCGCCUGGGGAGUACGGUCGCAGGCUGA
rnacentral:rRNA from 1 species